AGGAAGUCUGAAAAGAAUGCCCAGUAAUA
rnacentral:piRNA from 1 species